UACGUAGGGGGCAAGCGUUGUCCGGAAUCAUUGGGCGUAAAGAGCGUGUAGGCGGCCCGGUAAGUCCGUUGUGAAAGUCCAGGGCUCAACCCUGGAAAGCCGAUGGAUACUGCCGGGCUAGAGUUCGGAAGAGGCGAGUGGAAUUCCUGGUGUAGCGGUGGAAUGCGCAGAUAUCAGGAGGAACACCUACAGCGAAGGCAGCUCGCUGGGACGACACUGACGCUGAGACGCGAAAGCUAGGGGAGCAAACGGG
rnacentral:rRNA from 1 species